GGUGCGGGGAUUGCGCGUUUACGUCCCCCGUUCACCUGUCAGAGUGCAGGUGCGGGGAUUAUCGUCCCUUUUACCUCUACCGCAAUUACUUCAGUGUCUCGCAAUUACUUCAAUGUCCUGCGCGGUUCCGUACCCCGCGUCUCUCACCGUGAGUCCCCGCGUCCCACCAUGUCCCGCGUCUCUCACCGGGAGUACCGCGUUUUCCGCGUCUCUCACAGGGAGUACCGCGUCUCACCGUGAGUCCUGUGUACAGCGUGUGCGGCUCGGUGUCUGGUCAGCUGCAGCGCCGGUCCGAUGUCCGCUCCGAAGUUCUGGCGGCGCUCCGAUGUCCCGCGCCGCUCCGAUGUCUCAGUCUCGGUGCUGUGAUGUCCCGGCGCCGCUGGUCCCGACGCCGCUGGUCUCCUGGUCUACCUGCGUUCGGAUGUGCCGGCGCCGCUGGUGUCCCGCUGCGCUGCGAUGUUUGCCCCGGCGCCGCUGCGAUGUCCGUGCUCAGCUGCGAUGUCUGUUCAGGCCCUGUUCAGGUCUCAGCCUGUUCGGGCGCCAUUUGUUGCGAAGCACGGCCGAAAGCACGACAGACACCAGCAGAGUCAGAUCAUGCUUCACCAUUUUAUUGCCCGAAUAGCCCAACUUUUAUAGUGAAUUUUACAGGGGUGGACAGUGUUUCACACAAGAUUAUUGGUCAAAAGCACCCAGACAAACUGUUAAGAAAAUAACAUCACCUUUUGAUUAGAAGUUAGGAAAACAACCCCUUUUGUGCUUAACGGUCACGUAGGCCUAGUCCUUGAGGCCAGCUGCUGAUAACAAUAUUUUCUGAGUUCCUUAAUUGGGUGAUGUGGGAGUCAUUGCCGUGGGAGCUUCUCACAGUUACUCUGGCAGCUUGGUUUGCUCAGCUACAGCAGGCCCUGAGAUUUCUAAGGCCUACCCCUGGUUGCUUAAAGCAAGCUUAGAUCAAACAAUUAUGCCAAUUCCCAACAAUUCCCCCGUUUUCUUUUUGUACAGGCAGUGCUUGGUUUUACAACAGGUGUCAAAUAUACAACAUAACACAACUAUAUAACUUAACCCUAAUAAUACCAUAAUUACUGUAAGCAUUUAAUGGUAACACAAUCUAAUAGUAAGUAACACAACUUAAUAGUAACACAUUUAAACCUAAUCACUUGAUGGUGAUCAAAGGCUGUUCUUGACAGUCCUUGAGGUGUCACAGCCCACGUCAUUGUCAGAAUGAUUAUCAGGAACCUCUUCAUGGUCGUCUUCAGCGUGUGCAGAUUCUAAAACUGCUUCAGUCCACUUUACAGUGAUCCACUGGAUACCUGUUCCCGGCACCACUUCAAAAUCCCACAUUUAUCACAAUACUACGUGUAAUGAUGAUUGACACCACAAUGAACAGAAUCCUUAAUGCCCCUUUGACUAAUCCCAGUAACCAUCUAUGUAUUGUUUCAAACAAAUCAGUGAACCAUUGAUUGAAAGGAUUGAUAUCAUAUUGAAUCUUUUUAAUAAAUCCAUUUUUCUAUGAUUUUUGCUGGCA
rnacentral:lncRNA from 1 species